rnacentral:rRNA from 1 species
GACGAACGCUGGCGGCGUGCUUAACACAUGCAAGUCGAACGGAAAGGCCCUGCUUUUGUGGGGUGCUCGAGUGGCGAACGGGUGAGUAACACGUGAGUAACCUGCCCUUGACUUUGGGAUAACUUCAGGAAACUGGGGCUAAUACCGGAUAGGAGCUCCUGCUGCAUGGUGGGGGUUGGAAAGUUUCGGCGGUUGGGGAUGGACUCGCGGCUUAUCAGCUUGUUGGUGGGGUAGUGGCUUACCAAGGCUUUGACGGGUAGCCGGCCUGAGAGGGUGACCGGCCACAUUGGGACUGAGAUACGGCCCAGACUCCUACGGGAGGCAGCAGUGGAGAGUAUUACACAAUGGGCGGAAGCCUGGUGCAGCAACGCCGCGUGCGGGAUGACGGCCUUCGGGUUGUAAACCGCUUUCGCCUGUGACGAAGCGUGAGUGACGGUAAUGGGUAAAGAAGCACCGGCUAACUACGUG